ensembl:lncRNA
CACACACACACCAAUGGUAGCAGAGCUGCCAUGCAAGGCGCUAACUUGCCACCGGGAGCAUCUUGGGGUUCGGUGUCUUGCCCAAGGACACUUCGGCAUGCUGAGUCAUGUGGGCCGGGAAUCGAACCGCCAACCCUACGAUUAGUGGACAACCCGUUCUACCACCUGAGCCACAGCCGCCCUUUUAUAGCUUUUGCCAACUGUGAACAGAUCAAAAAAAAAAUGGCAUAACUGUCUAUCCAACCAUUUUCUGUACCGCUUAACCUACACAGGUCCCCUGGGAUAGGCUUCCCGCGACCCUGUGUACGUUAAGCGGUACAGGAAAUGGAUGGAUGGAAGUUCUGUGUUGCGUGUACCUCUCAGAACCCGCUCUGAAGUGCGAUCGAACAAGCUCCGGCUUGUCGAUUAGCUUCUUCGCUGUCGGUCCCGGCUACGUGAAAUGCCCGUUUAAUCGCCGCUUCCUACGAGAGUGGGAACUUCUCAGCCACGUUCCGUGACAAAACACCAGCAAACACUGGAGGUCUGGCUUGUUCAACGUUUCCAGUUACAGUAACCAGCAUGGAGAAAAUCUGCUUCUUAUGCAGUCUGUGUAUUCAGAUUUAGUCUGAGGAAAUAGAUCGGGCUAUUCAACAAAAAUUUGGUCCAGUUACAUAAAAUUCCUACCAUGUUUUUACAUUUUUUUAUUAUUAUAUAUAUUGUGGAAAAUAAUCAAACAUAUCUGACCAUUCAUUCUGCAUCAUAUUGUUUUUUUUAAACCAACCAUGUUGUCAGUUUGUCACUUGCAGUGGGAGGGCAGUGUCCAGAGCAAUGAGCUUCCUUUUUAGCUUAUAAGUUGUAUCAUGUGCGCUUGAGUGAAGAAUCCGUUCCAUACACACUAUAUACAUGUUGUCGAAAUAUGGCCUGUUACUUUUUAAGAGAAAGUGCAGUCUCUAAAGUGCAGAAAUGUCUUUCUGGCCUCGAUGUGCAUCUGUUUGUGCGUUUUAUAGCCCACGGUUACAAGUGCUUGUGUUAAUAUGUUGUUGGGGUUUUUUUUUUUUUUUGUCUGCAUUUUGAUCAUCUUAAGGGAAAAGUUAGAGAAAAAAAAAAAUCCCCCUAAAACUGGCAUGCUCCUUUUUUCAGCUGUAUCCC